rnacentral:tRNA from 1 species
UGUACAGGGAUGGGAUUCGAACCCACAGUGUUCCGCUUACCGGGCAGAUGCCAUGUCCACUAGGCUACCCUGGAC